rnacentral:rRNA from 1 species
UCCUACGGGAGGCAGCAGUGGGGAAUAUUGCACAAUGGGGGAAACCCUGAUGCAGCGACGCCGCGUGAGUGAGGAAGUAUUUCGGUAUGUAAAGCUCUAUCAGCAGGGAAGAAAAUGACGGUACCUGACUAAGAAGCCCCGGCUAACUACGUGCCAGCAGCCGCGGUAAUACGUAGGGGGCAAGCGUUAUCCGGAUUUACUGGGUGUAAAGGGUGCGCAGGCGGCUCUGCAAGUCAGGCGUGAAAGCUAGGGGCUCAACCCCUAAACUGCGCUUGAAACUGUGGGGCUUGAGUGAAGUAGAGGCA